rnacentral:rRNA from 1 species
AUUGAACGCUGGCGGCAGGCCUAACACAUGCAAGUCGAGCGGAUGAAGCGAGCUUGCUCCUGGAGUCAGCGGCGGACGGGUGAGUAAUGCCUAGGAAUCUGCCUGGUAGUGGGGGAUAACGUCCGGAAACGGGCGCUAAUACCGCAUACGUCCUGAGGGAGAAAGAGGGGGAUCUUCGGACCUCACGCUAUCAGAUGAACCUAGGUCGGAUUAGCUAGUUGGUGGGGUAAAGGCCUACCAAGGCGACGAUCCGUAACUGGUCUGAGAGGAUGAUCAGUCACACUAGAACUGAGACACGGUCCAGACUCCUACGGGAGGCAGCAGUGGGGAAUAUUGGACAAUGGGCGAAAGCCUGAUCCAGCCAUGCCGCGUGUGUGAAGAAGGUCUUCGGAUUGUAAAGCCCUUUAAGUUGGGAGGAAGCGCAGUAAGUUAAUACCUUGCUGUUUUGACGUUACCAACAGAAUAAGCACCGGCUAACUUCGUG